AGUCCAUGGUGUGGAUAUUUUCAUAGAAAAUCCCUAAACAUUUCCCAUGCUUUAUGUAAUGAUUCACCAUCCUGUUGGCUAAAACUAAUGAUGAUGUCCAUUCUAACCUU